rnacentral:rRNA from 1 species
AUUGAACGCUGGCGGCAGGCCCAACACAUGCAAGUCGAGCGGAUGAAGGGAGCUUGCUCCUGGAUUCAGCGGCGGACGGUUGAGUAAUGCCUAGGAAUCUGCCUGGUAGUGGGGGAUAACGUCCGGAAACGGGCGCUAAUACCGCAUACGUCCUGAGGGAGAAAGUGGGGGAUCUUCGGACCUCACGCUAUCAGAUGAGCCUAGGUCGGAUUAGCUAGUUGGUGGGGUAAAGGCCUACCAAGGCGACGAUCCGUAACUGGUCUGAGAGGAUGAUCAGUCACACUGGAACUGAGACACGGUCCAGACUCCUACGGGAGGCAGCAGUGGGGAAUAUUGGACAAUGGGCGAAAGCCUGAUCCAGCCAUGCCGCGUGUGUGAAGAAGGUCUUCGGAUUGUAAAGCACUUUAAGUUGGGAGGAAGGGCAGUAAGUUAAUACCUUGCUGUUUUGACGUUACCAACAGAAUAAGCACCGGCUAACUUCGUG